UGAACAUCUCAAAAUCAAAUUUUUGAUUUUGGAAUUUGGGCCGUUGUGUUGUGUUUUCUUACCCAACUGGCCUGAAAUUUGUGUUAUAAAUAAUGCAAGAAAUGUGUGGAUGCUUUGUUGGUUAAGACGAAAAGCUAAUUAGUUGACUGUGGUCAAACUUGCUGACUAGUCUUUCAAAACUUGGCAGAUCUACAUUCACA
rnacentral:misc_RNA from 1 species